rnacentral:rRNA from 1 species
AUUGAACGCUGGCGGCAGGCUUAACACAUGCAAGUCGAGCGGAGAUGAGGUGCUUGCACCUUAUCUUAGCGGCGGACGGGUGAGUAAUGCUUAGGAAUCUGCCUAUUAGUGGGGGACAACAUUCCGAAAGGAAUGCUAAUACCGCAUACGUCCUACGUGAGAAAGCAGGGGACCUUCGGACCUUGCGCUAAUAGAUGAGCCUAAGUCGGAUUAGCUAGUUGGUGGGGUAAAGGCCUACCAAGGCGACGAUCUGUAGCGGGUCUGAGAGGAUGAUCCGCCACACUGGGACUGAGACACGGCCCAGACUCCUACGGGAGGCAGCAGUGGGGAAUAUUGGACAAUGGGGGGAACCCUGAUCCAGCCAUGCCGCGUGUGUGAAGAAGGCCUUAUGGUUGUAAAGCACUUUAAGCGAGGAGGAGGCUACUGAGACUAAUACUCUUGGAUAGUGGACGUUACUCGCAGAAUAAGCACCGGCUAACUCUGUGCCAGCCGCCGCAGUAACAC